CGCGGAUUCCUGUUGGUUCCUGCAGAGUACACGGAACCUGCUCUCAGUGCAUAAAACGCCAGGAAGACCCGCUGCGAUGUGGGUGGUGCGGGCACUACUGUGCCCACUUUGCGGAAUGUGCCGAUCCAGCAAAAUUUACCCUUGAACGUUGCCCAGUGGAGUUGGAGCGGGUAUAUCCGCUCAACGGGCCUGUGUCCGGUGGCACUAUCAUCACGAUACUGGGAGACAACUUGGGCUCGCCUGAGCGCAAGCCUUACAGCAGCAUCGAGAUAUUAUUCGGAAACCGCACUUGUAGCAUCGUUGACUGGUCUUCGAAGCAAGUGAAAUGUAGGACGCCCCCUGUGCAGCAGAGCUCGAAAGUAGACGUUGUGGUAAAGGUGAUCGACAUUUUCAGCAAUACCGGCAAAAGUUAUCACGUUACGGAAAAUCGAACAGUUCCCUCUGGCUUCGAAUACAAAGUUGUAUCGUUCACUGCAGUCGCUCCAAAUUAUGGACCAGUAGCCGGAGGAACCAACGUUUCUUUGAACGGAGUUAACCUCGACAUCGGCUUAGAGCGCGUAGUCAAAAUCGGCAGAAGCUUAUGCCGAAU